GAUGAACGCUGGCGGCGUGCCUAGUACAUGCAAGUCGAGCGAACAGACGAGGAGCUUGCUCCUCUGACGUUAGCGGCGGACGGGUGAGUAACACGUGGAUAACCUACCUAUAAGACUGGGAUAACUUCGGGAAACCGGAGCUAAUACCGGAUAAUAUAUUGAACCGCAUGGUUCAAUAGUGAAAGACGGUUUUGCUGUCACUUAUAGAUGGAUCCGCGCCGCAUUAGCUAGUUGGUAAGGUAACGGCUUACCAAGGCAACGAUGCGUAGCCGACCUGAGAGGGUGAUUGGCCACACUGGAACUGAGACACGGUCCAGACUCCUACGGGAGGCAGCAGUAGGGAAUCUUCCGCAAUGGGCGAAAGCCUGACGGAGCAACGCCGCGUGAGUGAUGAAGGUCUUCGGAUCGUAAAACUCUGUUAUUAGGGAAGAACAAAUGUGUAAGUAACUAUGCACGUCUUGACGGUACCUAAUCAGAAAGCCACGGCUAACUACGUG
rnacentral:rRNA from 1 species